AACGCGAAGAACCUUACCAAGGCUUGACAUCCCAUUGACCGGUGUAGAGAUACGCCUUUCCUUCGGGACAAUGGAGACAGGUGGUGCAUGGUUGUCGUCAGCUCGUGUCGUGAGAUGUUGGGUUCAGUCCCGCAACGAGCGCAACCCUUAUCCUUAGUUGCCAGCAGGUAAAGCUGGGCACUCUAAAGAGACAGCCGGUGAAAGCCGGAGGAAGGUGGGGAUGACGUCAAAUCAUCAUGCCCCUUAUGUCUUGGGCUACACACGUGCUACAAUGGUUGGUGCAAAGGGAAGCGAAGCCGCGAGGUGAAGCGAAUCUCAUAAAACCAAUCUCAGUUCGGAUCGUAGGCUGCAACUCGCCUACGUGAAGUCGGAAUCGCUAGUAAUCGCGGAUCAGCAUGCCGCGGUGAAUACGUUCCCGGGCCUUGUACACACCGGUACUA
rnacentral:rRNA from 1 species